CAACUCGACCCAUUUAACCCGUCCAUUUUAAACUUUUUUAAAAUUUUACUGAAAAAGCAUUUUGCUACCGCAAUAUAGUAACAUACCAGACGAAUUUUACCUCAAAUCCAUGAUAUGCAACUAUAGCUCAAUAAACUCUAAUAAACACAACAAUGUAAACCAAAGUAGUGAACUAUCAAAUCGGAUGCAAUAUUAAGCGAAUUCAGUUUCCAGCAAUUUCAGUGAACAGAUCCAAUCUAACAAACUUGAUUCCAAUUCUAACAACUUUUCCCACGAUGAAAUUCGAAAUUUCCAGGUGUAAUUCAAACAAUCUAGAUUAUCCCGGGUGAAAUGCAGGUCAAAGAGAUGCACAUGUAGCACCCCAUGGCCCACAAUGGGGUGCCGCUAUUGUUUAUCAAACUUGUGUAAUAGUAAUUGUAAUAGUAAGAGUAAUAGUAGACGCAUCAG
rnacentral:lncRNA from 1 species